GAUGAACGCUGGCGGCGUGCCUAAUACAUGCAAGUCGAACGCAUAGCGAAAGGUGCUUGCCCCUUUCAAGUGAGUGGCGAACGGGUGAGUAACACGUGGACAACCUGCCUCAAGGCUGGGGAUAACAUUUGGAAACAGAUGCUAAUACCGAAUAAAACCUAGUGUCGCAUGACACAAAGUUAAAAGGCGCUUCGGCGUCACCUAGAGAUGGAUCCGCGGUGCAUUAGUUAGUUGGUGGGGUAAAGGCCUACCAAGACAAUGAUGCAUAGCCGAGUUGAGAGACUGAUCGACCACAUUGGGACUGAGACACGGCCCAAACUCCUACGGGAGGCUGCAGUAGGGAAUCUUCCACAAUGGGCGAAAGCCUGAUGGAGCAACGCCGCGUGUGUGAUGAAGGCUUUCGGGUCGUAAAGCACUGUUGUAUGGGAAGAACAGCUAGAAUAGGAAAUGAUUUUAGUUUGACGGUACCAUACCAGAAAGGGACGGCUAAAUACGUG
rnacentral:rRNA from 1 species